ensembl:lncRNA
GACUGGGAUGACCAACACUGGUAGGCAGAGAGACUGGGAUGACCAACACUGGUAGGCAGAGAGACUGGGAUGACCAACACUGGUAGGCAGAGAGACUGGGAUGACCAACACUGGUAGGCAGAGAGACUGGGAUGACCAACACUGGUAGGCAGACAGACUGGGAUGACCAACACUGGUAGGCAGACAGACUGGGAUGACCAACACUGGUAGGCAGAGAGACUGGGAUGACCAACACUGGUAGGCAGAGAGACUGGGAUGACCAACACUGGUAGGUAGAGACAGACUGGGAUGACCAACACUGGUAGGUAGAGACAGACUGGGAUGACCAACACUGGUAGGUAGAGACAGACUGGGAUGACCAACACUGGUAGGCAGAGAGACUGGGAUGGCCAACACUGGUAGGUAGAGUGACUGGGAUGACCAACACUGGUAGGUAGAGAGACUGGGAUGACCAACACUGGUAGGUAGAGACAGACUGGGAUGACCAACACUGGUAGGUAGAGACAGACUGGGAUGACCAACACUGGUAGGUAGAGACAGACUGGGAUGACCAACACUGGUAGGUAGAGACAGACUGGGAUGACCAACACUGGUAGGUAGAGACAGACUGGGAUGACCAACACUGGUAGGCAGAGAGACUG